rnacentral:rRNA from 1 species
GAUGAACGCUGGCGGCGUGCCUAAUACAUGCAAGUCGAGCGAACAGACGAGGAGCUUGCUCCUCUGACGUUAGCGGCGGACGGGUGAGUAACACGUGGAUAACCUACCUAUAAGACUGGGAUAACUUCGGGAAACCGGAGCUAAUACCGGAUAAUAUAUUGAACCGCAUGGUUCAAUAGUGAAAGACGGUUUUGCUGUCACUUAUAGAUGGAUCCGCGCCGCAUUAGCUAGUUGGUAAGGUAACGGCUUACCAAGGCAACGAUGCGUAGCCGACCUGAGAGGGGGAUCGGCCACACUGGAACUGAGACACGGUCCAGACUCCUACGGGAGGCAGCAGUAGGGAAUCUUCCGCAAUGGGCGAAAGCCUGACGGAGCAAUGCCGCGUGAGUGAUGAAGGUCUUCGGAUCGUAAAACUCUGUUAUUAGGGAAGAACAAAUGUGUAAGUAACUAUGCACGUCUUGACGGUACCUAAUCAGAAAGCCACGGCUAACUACGUG